rnacentral:snRNA from 1 species
AGAUGUGAGGGCUAUCUGGCUGUGAUAUCUGUCACCACAUUGAUAUACAGGGUUGAUUUAGCUGGCUAGGCAGGUGUCCCCUUUCCUCCCUUAGCACUCCACGUGCAUCCCUCCUGAAGCUGUGCGCUUGGUUAAACAGGAUGACCACUGAAGAGGACAACCAUCCCCAAUAGAGGAGGACCAGUCUUCAGUCAAGAGUAUACAAGUAGCUGCAGUCUCCUGCUAGAACCUCCAAACAAGCUCUCAAGGGCCGCUUGUAGGGGAACACAGGAUAGUCAAGCCUCCAAGACUCCAGAGACAUCCAUAUGAGGUGCUGCACUGGUGAGCUUUGAAUUUUUAUAU